rnacentral:rRNA from 1 species
GCUAAAUACUCCUGACUGACCGAUAGUGAACCAGUACCGUGAGGGAAAGGCGAAAAGAACCCCGGCGAGGGGAGUGAAAAAGAACCUGAAACCGUGUACGUACAAGCAGUGGGAGCACAGGUUUACCUGUGUGACUGCGUACCUUUUGUAUAAUGGGUCAGCGACUUAUAUUCUGUAGCAAGGUUAACCGAAUAGGGGAGCCGGAGGGAAACCGAGUCUUAAUUGGGCGUUAAGUUGCAGGGUAUAGACCCGAAACCCGGUGAUCUAGCCAUGGGCAGGUUGAAGGUUGGGUAACACUAACUGGAGGACCGAACCGACUAAUGUUGAAAAAUUAGCGGAUGACCUGUGGCUGGGGGUGAAAGGCCAAUCAAACCGGGAGAUAGCUGGUUCUCCCCGAAAGCUAUUUAGGUAGCGCCUCGUGAAUUCAUCUCCGGGGGUAGAGCACUGUUUCGGCUAGGGGGCCAUCCCGGCUUACCAACCCGAUGCAAACUGCGAAUACCGGAGAAUGUUAUCACGGGAGACACACGGCGGGUGCUAACGUCCGUCGUGAAGAGGGAAACAACCCAGACCGCCAGCUAAGGUCCCAAAGUCAUGGUUAAGUGGGAAACGAUGUGGGAAGGCCCAGACAGCCAGGAUGUUGGCUUAGAAGCAGCCAUCAUUUAAAGAAAGCGUAAUAGCUCACUGGUCGAGUCGGCCUGCGCGGAAGAUGUAACGGGGCUAAACCAUGCACCGAAGCUGCGGCAGCGACACUCAGGUGUUGUUGGGUAGGGGAGCGUUCUGUAAGCCUGCGAAGGUGGCCUGUGAGGGUUGCUGGAGGUAUCAGAAGUGCGAAUGCUGACAUAAGUAACGAUAAAGCGGGUGAAAAGCCCGCUCGCCGGAAGACCAAGGGUUCCUGUCCAACGUUAAUCGGGGCAGGGUGAGUCGACCCCUAAGGCGAGGCCGAAAGGCGUAGUCGAUGGGAAACGGGUUAAUAUUCCCGUACUUGGUGUUACUGCGAAGGGGGGACGGAGAAGGCUAUGUUGGCCGGGCGACGGUUGUCCCGGUUUAAGCGUGUAGGUGUGUGUUCCAGGUAAAUCCGGUUCACUUUAACACUGAGGCGUGAUGACGAGGCACUACGGUGCUGAAGCAACAAAUGCCCUGCUUCCAGGAAAAGCCUCUAAGCAUCAGGUAACAUCAAAUCGUACCCCAAACCGACACAGGUGGUCAGGUAGAGAAUACCAAGGCGCUUGAGAGAACUCGGGUGAAGGAACUAGGCAAAAUGGUGCCGUAACUUCGGGAGAAGGCACGCUGACACGUAGGUGAAGUGAUUUACUCAUGGAGCUGAAGUCAGUCGAAGAUACCAGCUGGCUGCAACUGUUUAUUAAAAACACAGCACUGUGCAAACACGAAAGUGGACGUAUACGGUGUGACGCCUGCCCGGUGCCGGAAGGUUAAUUGAUGGGGUCAGCGCAAGCGAAGCUCCUGAUCGAAGCCCCGGUAAACGGCGGCCGUAACUAUAACGGUCCUAAGGUAGCGAAAUUCCUUGUCGGGUAAGUUCCGACCUGCACGAAUGGCGUAAUGAUGGCCAGGCUGUCUCCACCCGAGACUCAGUGAAAUUGAACUCGCUGUGAAGAUGCAGUGUACCCGCGGCAAGACGGAAAGACCCCGUGAACCUUUACUAUAGCUUGACACUGAACAUUGAGCCUUGAUGUGUAGGAUAGGUGGGAGGCUUUGAAGUGUGGACGCCAGUCUGCAUGGAGCCGACCUUGAAAUACCACCCUUUAAUGUUUGAUGUUCUAACGUGGACCCGUAAUCCGGGUUGCGGACAGUGUCUGGUGGGUAGUUUGACUGGGGCGGUCUCCUCCUAAAGAGUAACGGAGGAGCACGAAGGUUGGCUAAUCCUGGUCGGACAUCAGGAGGUUAGUGCAAUGGCAUAAGCCAGCUUGACUGCGAGCGUGACGGCGCGAGCAGGUGCGAAAGCAGGUCAUAGUGAUCCGGUGGUUCUGAAUGGAAGGGCCAUCGCUCAACGGAUAAAAGGUACUCCGGGGAUAACAGGCUGAUACCGCCCAAGAGUUCAUAUCGACGGCGGUGUUUGGCACCUCGAUGUCGGCUCAUCACAUCCUGGGGCUGAAGUAGGUCCCAAGGGUAUGGCUGUUCGCCAUUUAAAGUGGUACGCGAGCUGGGUUUAGAACGUCGUGAGACAGUUCGGUCCCUAUCUGCCGUGGGCGCUGGAGAACUGAGGGGGGCUGCUCCUAGUACGAGAGGACCGGAGUGGACGCAUCACUGGUGUUCGGGUUGUCAUGCCAAUGGCACUGCCCGGUAGCUAAAUGCGGAAGAGAUAAGUGCUGAAAGCAUCUAAGCACGAAACUUGCCCCGA